AGUGAACGCUGGCGGUAGGCCUAACACAUGCAAGUCGAACGGCAGCACAGUAAGAGCUUGCUCUUACGGGUGGCGAGUGGCGGACGGGUGAGGAAUACAUCGGAAUCUACUUUUUCGUGGGGGAUAACGUAGGGAAACUUACGCUAAUACCGCAUACGCCCUACGGGUGAAAGCAGGGGAUCUUCGGACCUUGCGCGAUUGAAUGAGCCGAUGUCGGAUUAGCUAGUUGGGGGGGUAAAGGCCCACCAAGGCGACGAUCCGUAGCUGGUCUGAGAGGAUGAUCAGCCACACUGGAACUGAGACACGGUCCAGACUCCUACGGGAGGCAGCAGUGGGGAAUAUUGGACAAUGGGCGCAAGCCUGAUCCAGCCAUACCGCGUGGGUGAAGAAGGCCUUCGGGUUGUAAAGCCCUUUUGUUGGGAAAGAAAAGCAGCAGGUUAAUACCCCGCUGUUCUGACGGUACCCAAAGAAUAAGCACCGGCUAACUUCGUG
rnacentral:rRNA from 1 species